GCGGCCUAUCAGCUUGUUGGAGAGGUAACGGCUCACCAAGGCUUCGACGGGUAGCUGGUCUGAGAGGAUGAUCAGCCACACUGGAACUGAGACACGGUCCAGACUCCUACGGGAGGCAGCAGUGGGGAAUCUUGCACAAUGGGCGAAAGCCUGAUGCAGCGAUGCCGCGUGCGGGAAGAAGGCCUUAGGGUUGUAAACCGCUUUCAGGAGGGAAGAAAAUGACGGUACCUCCAGAAGAAGGUGCGGCCAACUACGUGCCAGCAGCCGCGGUGACACGUAGGCACCAAGCGUUAUCCGGAUUUAUUGGGCGUAAAGAGCUCGUAGGCGGUUUGGUAAGUCGGGUGUGAAAACUCUGGGCUCAACCCAGAGAGGCCACUCGAUACUGCUAUGACUAGAGUACGGUAGGGGAGACUGGAAUUCCU
rnacentral:rRNA from 1 species